AAGGCCUUAGGGUUGUAAAGCACUUUCAGGGGGGAGGAAAGGCACGUAAGUGUUUUGACGUUACCCCCAGAAGAAGCACCGGCUAACUCUGUGC
rnacentral:rRNA from 1 species